GGAGUUGUAGCUCAGUAGUAGAGCACUUGCCUAGCAUGUGUGAGGCACUAGGUUCAAUUCUCAGCACCGCUU
rnacentral:tRNA from 1 species